UACGUAGGUGGCAAGCGUUGUCCGGAUUUACUGGGCGUAAAGAGCGCGCAGGCGGUUCGUUAAGUCUGUUGUGAAAGCCCCGGGCUCAACCUGGGAAUGGCAAUGGAUACUGGCGAGCUAGAGUGUGUCAGAGGAUGGUGGAAUUCCCGGUGUAGCGGUGAAAUGCGUAGAGAUCGGGAGGAACAUCAGUGGCGAAGGCGGCCAUCUGGGACAACACUGACGCUGAGGCACGAAAGCGUGGGGAGCAAACAGG
rnacentral:rRNA from 1 species